rnacentral:misc_RNA from 1 species
AACGCACCUUGCGCCCUCUGGUAUUCCGGAGGGCAUGCCUGUUUGAGUGUCAUGUAGACUCAAUCCCUCGGGUUUCUGAGGAGAUUGGACUUGGGUGUUGCCGCUCUGCCGGCUCGCCUUGAAAGACUUAGCGGGAUAGCACCGUAGUCGGCGUAAUAAGUUUCGUCGGUGAAGGUUGUGAUGACUGCUUACAAUCGCCCUCGGGCAAUUUUUGACUCUGACCUCAAAUCAGGUAGGACUACCCGCUGAACUUAA